AAGGCGUUGGUGGUGCCACUCUUUGCCAAUCGGAUCCUUGCUAAGCGCACCUUCUACAGAGAGGAGAGAAAGAGUCAGAUGCGGCUGAAGUUAGAAACAAUGACUGGCACAGGCAGAGCGAUGACCAGGACACCACUGAGUGAGCAGAUGGAUCCGAAAAUCUUGCCAGCAAUGGUGCUGGGCACCAUGUCUCCAUAUCUGGGGCCAGAGGAGAGGGGAAACAGGCCCAGAGAACACAAGGUCAACAGAAAGAGUACAGCUAAGACAAUCCUUGAACCCAAGUCAUUGUCAAAGCUGGGUGGGAUUUGAAGAUGAGUCCAACUCCCUCAGUUUCUACAGACGAGCAAACUGAAGCUCAAACAGAUCAUUUACCUAACCUCCUUUUACAGAAAAGGUGAGUGUAACUGACUAAUCGG